rnacentral:rRNA from 1 species
GAUCCGGUGCUUGCACCGGGGAUUAGUGGCGAACGGGUGAGUAACACGUGAGUAACCUGCCCUUAACUCUGGGAUAAGCCUGGGAAACUGGGUCUAAUACCGGAUAUGACUCCUCAUCGCAUGGUGGGGGGUGGAAAGCUUUUUGUGGUUUUGGAUGGACUCGCGGCCUAUCAGCUUGUUGGUGAGGUAAUGGCUCACCAAGGCGACGACGGGUAGCCGGCCUGAGAGGGUGACCGGCCACACUGGGACUGAGACACGGCCCAGACUCCUACGGGAGGCAGCAGUGGGGAAUAUUGCACAAUGGGCGAAAGCCUGAUGCAGCGACGCCGCGUGAGGGAUGACGGCCUUCGGGUUGUAAACCUCUUUCAGUAGGGAAGAAGCGAAAGUGACGGUACCUGCAGAAGAAGCGCCGGCUAACUACGUGCCAGCAGCCGCGGUAAUACGUAGGGCGCAAGCGUUAUCCGGAAUUAUUGGGCGUAAAGAGCUCGUAGGCGGUUUGUCGCGUCUGCCGUGAAAGUCCGGGGCUCAACUCCGGAUCUGCGGUGGGUACGGGCAGACUAGAGUGAUGUAGGGGAGACUGGAAUUCCUGGUGUAGCGGUGAAAUGCGCAGAUAUCAGGAGGAACACCGAUGGCGAAGGCAGGUCUCUGGGCAUUAACUGACGCUGAGGAGCGAAAGCAUGGGGAGCGAACAGGAUUAGAUACCCUGGUAGUCCAUGCCGUAAACGUUGGGCACUAGGUGUGGGGGACAU